rnacentral:rRNA from 1 species
UACAGAGGGUGCAAGCGUUAAUCGGAAUUACUGGGCGUAAAGCGCACGUAGGUGGCUUGAUAAGUUGGGUGUGAAAUCCCCGGGCUUAACCUGGGAAUUGCAUUCAAGACUGUCUUGCUAGAGUGUGGAAGAGGGAAGCGGAAUUCCCGGUGUAGCGGUGAAAUGCGCAGAUAUCGGGAAGAACACCCGUGGCGAAGGCGGCUCACUGGCUCGUUUCUGACGCUCAGGCGCGACAGCGUGGGGAUCAAACAGG